rnacentral:rRNA from 2 species
CUAUCUGCAGUCGAGCGAUGGAUUAAGAGCUUGCUCUUAUGAAGUUAGCGGCGGACGGGUGAGUAACACGUGGGUAACCUGCCCAUAAGACUGGGAUAACUCCGGGAAACCGGGGCUAAUACCGGAUAACAUUUUGAACUGCAUGGUUCGAAAUUGAAAGGCGGCUUCGGCUGUCACUUAUGGAUGGACCCGCGUCGCAUUAGCUAGUUGGUGAGGUAACGGCUCACCAAGGCAACGAUGCGUAGCCGACCUGAGAGGGUGAUCGGCCACACUGGGACUGAGACACGGCCCAGACUCCUACGGGAGGCAGCAGUAGGGAAUCUUCCGCAAUGGACGAAAGUCUGACGGAGCAACGCCGCGUGAGUGAUGAAGGCUUUCGGGUCGUAAAACUCUGUUGUUAGGGAAGAACAAGUGCUAGUUGAAUAAGCUGGCACCUUGACGGUACCUAACCAGAAAGCCACGGCUAACUACGUGCCAGCAGCCGCGGUAAUACGUAGGUGGCAAGCGUUAUCCGGAAUUAUUGGGCGUAAAGCGCGCGCAGGUGGUUUCUUAAGUCUGAUGUGAAAGCCCACGGCUCAUCCGUGGAGGGUCAUUGUAAACUGGGAGACUUGAGUGCAGAAGAGGAAAGUGGAAUUCCAUGUGUAGCGGUGAAAGUGCGUAGAGAUAUGGGAGGAAACACCAGUGGCGAAAGGCGACUUUUCUGGUCUGUAACUGACACUGAGGC